AUUGAACGCUGGCGGCAUGCCUUACACAUGCAAGUCGAACGGUAACGGGCCUUCGGGUGCCGACGAGUGGCGAACGGGUGAGUAAUACAUCGGAACGUGCCCGAUCGUGGGGGAUAACGAGGCGAAAGCUUUGCUAAUACCGCAUACGAUCUACGGAUGAAAGCAGGGGACCGCAAGGCCUUGCGCGGACGGAGCGGCCGAUGGCAGAUUAGGUAGUUGGUGGGAUAAAAGCUUACCAAGCCGACGAUCUGUAGCUGGUCUGAGAGGAUGAUCAGUCACACUGGGACUGAGACACGGCCCAGACUCCUACGGGAGGCAGCAGUGGGGAAUUUUGGACAAUGGGCGCAAGCCUGAUCCAGCCAUGCCGCGUGCAGGAUGAAGGCCUUCGGGUUGUAAACUGCUUUUGUACGGAACGAAAAGCCUUCUUUUAAUACAGGAGGGUCAUGACGGUACCGUAAGAAUAAGCACCGGCUAACUACGUG
rnacentral:rRNA from 1 species